CGCCUGGGCGGGGAUAGAAGACCCUGUUGAGCUUGACUCUAGUCUGGCACCGUGAAGAGACAUGAGAGGUGUAGAAUAAGUGGGAGGCUCUGGCCGCCGGUGAAAUACCACUACUUUUAUCGUUUUUUCACUUACCCAGUGAGGCGGGAAGGCG